rnacentral:rRNA from 1 species
GAUGAACGCUGGCGGCGUGCCUAAUACAUGCAAGUCGAGCGAACGGACGAGAAGCUUGCUUCUCUGAUGUUAGCGGCGGACGGGUGAGUAACACGUGGAUAACCUACCUAUAAGACUGGGAUAACUUCGGGAAACCGGAGCUACUACCGGAUAAUAUUUUGAACCGCAUGGUUCAAAAGUGAAAGACGGUCUUGCCGUCACUUAUAGAUGGAUCCGCGCUGCAUUAGCUAGUUGGUAAGGUAACGGCCUACCAAGGCAACGAUGCAUAGCCGACCUGAGAGGGUGAUCGGCCACACUGGAACUGAGACACGGUCCAGACUCCUACGGGAGGCAGCAGUAGGGAAUCUUCCGCAAUGGGCGAAAGCCUGACGGAGCAACGCCGCGUGAGUGAUGAAGGUCUUCGGAUCGUAAAACUCUGUUAUUAGGGAAGAACAUAUGUGUAAGUAACUGUGCACAUCUUGACGGUACCUAAUCAGAAAGCCACGGCUAACUACGUG